AGCGGGGUUAGGGGCGGUGUGGGAACCUAGAGUGGGAGAGAUUAAGCUGAAGGAAGAUUUUGUGGUAAGGGGUGAUAUUGCCAGUUCCUGACAUGGCCACUCAUCCUUUCUGAGUCUCAUGCAAGUGUAUCAGUUAGGUUUUGCUUAUGAGAUUUAAUAAUACAAAUGAAUUGUUUUUUUUUUUUUUUUAUUUCUCACAUUCUGGGAU
rnacentral:lncRNA from 10 species